rnacentral:piRNA from 1 species
UAUGAAAUGGAGAGCGCUUUGGCAUG